UUUCGCAGGAAGUGAAAGGCUAGAAGUCUUGAUAAAAAAAUGUUAUAAGUUGUUAAUUUUAUAUAGAAAAUAGUAGCGGGUGCAUUUAAUACCUUCAUACCUUAUCGUAUGGUCGUAGAUCUACAUGGUUUUAAUUCUUUUUUUUAUUAUUUUUAACUCAUUACUGUUAAUUGUUAGAUAAUGACUACCAGUAUUCAGUUAAGCAGUGCAUAACUUUAAACCUUUAGAAAGCAAAGAACUAUUUUUCUCGUAGUAAUUCAGGAGCGUAGGAAUGUGCUAUGGUGAAAGUAAAACUCGAAGUAUCGGACAAGAAACUCAAAACUAUUCGAUGAGAAACUCAGGCUAUCAGACGAGGAACCCGAACUAUCCGACAAGAAGCAGUUUCCUGUACCAUACACGAAGAAAAAUUUAGUUGAUGGAACUACAGUUGUCGUAGAAUUGCCUUGCUGGUACUAAAAAGAUGCCGAUAACCAGAGGGGCACUGGUAACCAAUCGAUGUCGCUCAUCAGAGGUGUUCUGGACCCCUUAUGUCAACAUAGUAAUCAACUGUUCUGGACAAGCACUGUUCGAUUGGUCAAGAUAGAGUGGUUUUAGUGGAAUUCAGCCCUUGAUGGACAUAUCGUCUGUAUUUUCCCUGUCCUGGUGAUGGUAGAAAGCUCUUCCAUAGCUCGUGCACAUAUCAGAAUCCGCGAGGUAGGCGACGAAUUUAUUCAGGUUUAAAACGACAGGAAGACAGUGUUUUACAUUGUUGAAAGACAAAGAAAAAGAAUCGAUUCCAGAACGUGCCGUCCUGUUUUUGUUGUUUUCGACAGUUGAGGGGAGAAUCCGGUGCAUGCCAGAUACUAUCUAUUGAUUUCAAACACUCUAGUGAGAAAUAUAUGCAGAAGAAAGAACCAAGUAUGAUAGAUCCACGACAUACCUGGCACAAGCAUACAGCAUGACACCACUACAGCCUCCAUGACAAAAGCAUAGUUAAACAAAUUAGGCAUAAGCUAACAUGUAUAUAAUUAUACCCCAACGUACAAAGUAUAUUGGGCUAUGUUGGAGUCACGCAUGUCCAGUCUAUCCGUCCUUCCGUUCAUUUGUCCACCAUGGCCGCUGGGAUGAUUUUCAUAAAACUGACAUAAAUUAUAAACCACAUCAAGAUGAUGUACAGAACGCUCAAUCUAGGUCACAAGGCCCAAGGUCAAGGUUACUCGUGGAGGUCAAAGGUCAAAUAGCUUAGCUUCAUGUCCGCUCAAUAUUGUCUAAACGGCUUUGAAAAUAUUUAGCUUGACUGUUUGAAGAAUAAGGAGGAUUACUGUACUUGCCUUGGCGUCUGUGUCACUGUCACCGUUGCAUUGAAAGUUAAAAUUUUAGGACAAGCUUCUCAGUGUCACUAUAAAUCUUCUUACUACUGCCCUUAUUAACAUCAAACUUCACAUAAGUGUUGGUCUUGGUAAGGGAAAGACAUCUACAUGUAUUAGUUUAGGAACAAGUAUCCUAAAUGUCGAAGUCACUGUCUUAAAUAUUGUGAUAGUGCUGGUUAAAGUUUCAUGAUAUGCUUCUCAAUUUCAAAAUAUAACCUCACAUAAGGAUUGAUCUUAAAACGUGGCAGAAAUCUUUUUGUUUAGGGUCAGGUUGCUCAAAGGUCAAGGUUACUGGGGUCAGAUUUUGUAACAGUGUUGGUUUAAUGUCUUGUGGCACAUUUCUCAAUUUGACUUAUAUCUCAUAACGUUUCCUAGAACUGGUAUCCCUCAUGUCCUAUCCUUUUUAGCUAUACCCACACUUCAUCUACGUUGCUCCCGACACCCACCCAAAAAUGCGUUCCAUACUAAAACAUAUAUUAAAUCUUUUCAUUUUCAUGUUUCCAUCAACUCCCCUACUCCGCUGUCUUACCUACCUCCUCCACCCCAUUUCACCGAACCUUUACCCUCGCCCCUAACCCCCGCCCACUCCAUAAGAAGGAUAAAAAACUCCUUUUCGAUCUCCCACACUUACUUAUAAUAAUAACAAUAUCUUGUUAAACAUUUUCCUUAUAGUCGAGCAGACACAAUUAACUCAGAUCACUAGGUCCAAGGUCAAGGUCACACCUAAAAAUCAAAAGUCAUGAUGACAACAUUUUACUUUCCCUUUAUCAAAGUGAGGUCUGGGGGUAUUAAUCGACUUCAGUGAUGGCCUUAGUUGAUCAGGUGUAAGUGUCAUAAGUGUGUAACAUUUGCUUUAUUGGGGGUGGGGGGAGGGUAUAGGAAUCUGCCCGUCCGUAACACUUUCGUGUCCGGUCCAUAUCUCCUAAACCA
rnacentral:lncRNA from 1 species